rnacentral:lncRNA from 1 species
AUGCACACAAAAUAUGCACACUCUGACACAUGGCAGAGCAAAGAGAAAGGGAAAAGAAGUCUAAAAGAAGAAGCCAGCAACCAAAGGUCAGCUCGGGCGGCUCAGCCACGUGCAGUCCACCCACAACCCUGGUCAGGUCAUGUGAGACGAAGACCAAAGCCUCAUCAACACUCCAUUGUCUUCCAGAGCCCUGCCUGUGCUGUACCCUCCAGCCCAGGACUGCUUUGCUCACCCGUCCCCGAGGGGAUGCUCCAGGGCUCUUUCAGUCCUCACCUGCAGAAAGAACUGAGUGAUGCUCAGAUGCUCACAAAGCCGUGGGCUUAUGGUUCCUGCCCACAGGCCCCUGAGCCCCACAGGACCCACCCAGGGAAGGAGGCCAGGGCUGGCUGACUGGACGCACUCCCAAGGCCCAAGAUCUUCACUUGCAACUCUGACGUUCAGUUUUUCCCAUCUCACCCAUCCUGUCAGCCUCA